CACUAGCAGAUGGGCUGCCGCUGUGCCACACUCAGCUUUGCACGCUCCAUUGUUUACCUCGAGUCAGUAUCCUGGAAGGGGCAGGGCACCUCCUGUGAGAUGGUGAGGAGCCUUAAAUUCCACUGACCUGAAUAAGGGUUGAAGUCAUUCAGCACUUUGCAGAACUGGGGCAUUGGAAUGGCAGAACUCUGAGGUAUUUGUACAGGCUCUAAACAUAUGUUUACCAUCUGUGGAAUUAUGGGAAGCAGCUGAGAUAAGGAACAACAGCUGUAGAAUAAAAUCAUGCCAUCAAUUUCACUUCACAGCGACAGGUCAGCUGUUACAACAAGAAAUGAAGUCCAGGCCCUUCCACCUCAGCACCCCAGCCAGACUCCAGCAGGAUCCUGGGAUUUUGAACGGUUAUGGACUGGUCAAAGAUGAAGCAUUUCCAUGAUGAACUUAUGGUAGACCUCCUGGACAGGGCCAACAAGCAGCAUCAUCUGCCGAAGAGUUAAUCCCCUUACAGAAUAUCCUGUCACAGGAGCAUCUUAUCAAGAGGAUAAUGUCAUCACUAAAUAAUUUGCCCAUAACCAUAAAAUAAUCUCAUCGAUAUUCCAGAGUCAAUUUCUCACAAAGAGA